CCGGAUAUGGAAGCCCUGUAAGGGGUGGAGUUGACCGGUACUAAUAGGCCGAGGGCUUGUCCUCAGUUG
rnacentral:rRNA from 1 species